UACAGAGGGUGCAAGCGUUGUUCGGAAUUAUUGGGCGUAAAGGGCGCGUAGGCGGCCGCGUAUGUCCGGUGUGAAAGCCCACCUCUUAAAGGUGGAAUUGCAUCGGAAACUACGUGGCUGGAGUGUCGGAGAGGAUGGUGGAAUUCCUGGUGUAGAGGUGAAAUUCGUAGAUAUCAGGAGGAACACCGGUGGCGAAGGCGGCCAUCUGGACGACUACUGACGCUGAGGCGCGAAAGCGUGGGGAUCAAAC
rnacentral:rRNA from 1 species